CUCAUCUCAAUCCAGUCCAAACUAUAGUCUACGACACCUUUACCCCUCGAAUCGGUCUCCACUUUCAUCGAAUCUAUCAAAAAUCAGAAUCACGGUAUCAAAAUAUGCUAAAGGAACAAAACCCAAGAGAAAAUAAUCAAUUUAUAGCAUAAAUCCAACAAUUACCAAAAUCCAACCCAUGAGCCCACGUCUCGAAAUUUGAUAAAAGUCACAUCAAUAGUUUCCUUAUCUCCCCAUGAGUUAUAUAUAUCAAAAGUUCUUAAAUCUGACCUCAAAUGAUCAUUCAAAUCCUCAAUCAAAGGUCUAAGUUUCCAAGCCUUAGUUUCUCCAAAUUUAACCCUUAAAUUUCAUUAAUUUCUGUCACACCUCCUUUUUAAACGGCUACCCCGAAGGAUAGUGCAUAAGGGAGUUUUUUCAAUUUAGGUGAAAUUAUUCGAAAUGAGAUUAUUUAUUCAAUUUUGUUCAGGGUCGCCACUUGGGAUGGUUUAUUUUCCGGUGUCCAAAGUCACCGAUUUAUUUUUAAAUCCCAAAUCGAGGAAGAUUUCGACUUUCCUUUUGAAAUCUGCGAACCAGAAAUUCUUGAGUAAGGAAUUCUGUUAACCCGAGGUAAGGUGUGAGGCACCCCCAGAUUCCGUGGUUCUAGCAUGGUCGUUUAAACUAUUACAAUUGGCUAAAAUUCUGAGUUUUAUACAUGUUCAUCCUAUGAACAUUUUUUUUAAUUUUAACCAUGUUAUUCAUUUUAGGAAUAUUGCAACGUUAUUAAAACACGUCUUGAAUCACGUCACAUAAAUGCAUCCGCACGUUUCGACAUAUAUUUAUCUAGCAUUGUUGAUAUUUUGAUUUAGGUCAUAUGAAUGCGCACCCAAGUUUAUGAAAGUAAUUUAAAUUACAUGCCUAAAAUAACUACGAAUAUUUAUUUUAGAAAUCGUAAUCAUGUCAUGUGAAUAUGUCCAUAAUCACGAUAAUAAAUUAAUGAACUCAUUAUAGACCAAGUUAAUUGCAAGUCUAAUGGCCCAUUAAAACUAACAAUUUCGUAUUUUUGCCACAAUAGGAAAAAUAUUAUUUUACUCCAUAAACUUAAGAUCAAAACCGAAGAAAGCGUUGUAAUUUGUAAACCACAUGAAUUUUAAAUCAACGGGAAGUUUUCAUAAAAGACAAAACAAGUUCAUUCACAUAACUAUUAAAUUCACGAAUAAAUAACUUAUCAAUCCACAGAUGGUACAAUCACAAGCAUGACAUAAAUUAAAAUAAACACUCUUCAUUCAACAUAAAAAAUAGAGUGACUAAAAAAACUCAUAAAAAAGGAUCAAUAUAGAGAAAUCAUACCUUUAUUGAUGAAUAGAGCUGAAAAUUUGUAACUCAAUCGUAAUAAUAAAGCAAUAAUUAUUAAAUUGAAAUGCCGAAAUUGCUAACCGGAACUUCAAUCGGCGGCGAACUCAAGCUAACUACAGUACCUCAAACGAAAUGCCUUGAUGACCAAAAUCCAAGAGAAGAAAAAUUCCAAAUCCCUUUCUGUCUUUGAUUUUGAAUUGAGAUUAAAAAAAUGGAAUGCAAUAAAAGUUCUAUAUAUACUGGAAAUCAAAGAAAGUGAACUGUCCGUUCCCUUUAAACCUUUUGAUUUUCGAAUCAAUCCAGCCAAAGUAGAAUAAAAAUUCUUCAAUCCCCAAUCCUAAAAAAUCACCGUCAUUAACCGUGAUUUGACUUCACUUUUUCAAUUUGUUCCAUCCCUCGGCCUCUUCGUGUUGUGUGCACGUGAAGAGAGAUGAAUGAAUCAAAAGGAAAAUUUUUUAGGUUAAUUCCUCUGUCACAAACUUGUGGUUGUCCUAGCUUUUUAGGAAUUGGAAUCCACUGUUUUUUGCUUAGAGUUCUAGCUUAGAA
rnacentral:lncRNA from 1 species